CUGUUUCCCUUCCCUCUUACGUUUUCUCUUCGCUACGACUUCGACGUCAGCGCCACCUGUCGUUUUCCGACCCAACCGAUCGAGCCGGGGGUUGGUUUUGUUUACGUGUAUGGAUGGAGUACUUUAAGAGCGGACUCAAGUCCGUCCUGGGGGCCCCGCAGCCCGGCCAGCAGCCCUCCGGGGCCGACACGGUGGAGCGUCUGAUCCAGCGUGUGCAGACGUCGACCCUGCUGGAAGACCGGCGCGAUGCUUGCAGGGCCCUGAAGGCGCUGUCCAAGACCUACCGGCUCGAGGUCGGUGCCCACGGCAUGGACACGCUCUGCUACGAACUUGUGCAGGACAGGAAUGACUCCGAGACCAUUGGAUACACACUUGACGCCCUCUGCAAUGUACUUUCACCUGAAACCUUCGAGGAGGAAGAAGGUCUGAAGAGAUUUUUAUGUGAUUUGAGAGUAUUUAAUAUUUUGUUUGAAUUUAUAGAGCGAGGGACGGACUCGGUUGGAGGACAGUUUACGGAAAUCUUCAUUAAACAGUCGCAGAACGUGUCUCUGGUCCUGGAGAUGCUCGAGGAGUUUGAGUUCCACGUGCGGUGGCCGGCGGUCAAACUGCUGUCCAGCAUGCUCGCGCACCGGGCCCGCGAGGUGCAGGAGCUCGUCCUCACCAGUCCGAUGGGCGUGUCUAAACUCAUGGACCUCCUUAGUGACUCAAGAGAAGUCAUUCGCAACGACGCCUUAUUGUUGUUGAUCUCGCUGACGAAAGGGAACGCAAACAUCCAGAAAAUCGUGGCGUUCGAGAACGCCUUUGACCGCUUGUUUGAGGUAAUCGCGAGCGAGGGUGGACUGGAUGGCGGAAUCGUGGUCGAGGACUGUCUGCUCCUGAUGUACAACCUGCUGCGGGCCAACCCGAGCAACCAGAACUUCUUCAAGGAGGGCAGCUUCAUCCAGAAACUGACGCCAAUGCUGCAGCCCGGCAGCGAGGACGGCUGGGCGGCCCAAAGGGCAGCAAACUGCCACGCACUCUUGCAGGUUUUGCGGACGUUGGUUGCUCCUGCAAAUCCGGCACAGGCGACCUCGGCAUGCCAACAGAUAAUGCGGGGCAGCGGCCUGCUGGGCAGCUUGAGCGACUCUCUGAUGGCCUCUGGCGUGCCGGCGGACGUGCUGACCGAAACAGUUUGCUCUGUGGCCGAGGUGAUGCGUGGCUGUGGCGAAAAUCAGACAUUCUUCAGCCAGGUGAUGGCGCCGUCUAACCCACCAAGGCCAGCGCUCGUCGUCCUUCUCAUGUCCAUGGUCAACGAGAAGCAGCCGCUGGCGCUCAGGUGUGCCGUCCUCUACUGCUUCCAGUGCUUCCUCCACCGAAACCAGGAUGGACAAGCGCAGCUUGCCCAAACUCUCUUGCCAGCCACCACAGAACAAGUGUCUGGCGUGACAAGUGGCACCCUUUUGUGCGGCGGCCUGUUCAGUCCGGACACGUUGACCAACUGGUUUUCUUGCGUGGCGCUGAGCCACUCACUAGUGGACAACCCCGGCACCAAAGAGCAACUACUGCGGGUUCAGCUGGCUCCCGCGGAGGGCCACCCUGGCGUGCACCUUCUGCCGCAGUGCCUGGCACUCCUGCAGCAGGCGCAGCGGCCGCAGACGCGCCUCGGCCUGCUGCAGCUGCUGGCCCAGUGGCUGGCCCACUGUUCUGCGGCCGUCGGCCACCUGCUGUCCACGCCCAACGCCGUCGCCCACCUUACGGCCGUCGUCUGUGACGUCUCCGAGGAGGAGCUCGUCCGUGGCCUCUCUGCCUUCGUGCUUGGCCUCUGUGUGGCCUUCAAUGACGACGCUGUUGUCUCUUUUGGCCGCCUUGCCCUCGUCCAGCUCAUCAACAAGAGGAUUGGAACUGAGGCCUUCCUCGACCGUGUCGCCGACACCACCAGACAUGAAGCGUAUGCCAAGGCUGCAAAGCACCCUCAGCCCACUGCUGCCACAGCCGCCGACCUCCAGCUGGACCACGAGUUCUGCAGACUGCUCAAAGCUCUCGAAAACGUGGUGGCUCGUGCGGUUGCGCCAAAGCCCGAGGAGGUGGUGGAGCAGGUGGGCAGCGCGCAGUACAAAGUUCUGAUCCGUCAGCAGGACGAGCAGUUGGCCCAGCUGAGCCGGCAGUUGGCGCAGGUGACGGCCGAGCGGGACCACUUGGCCGCUCAGGUGAACCAGCUGGCGGCCCAGGUGGCGCAGCUGCGCGACCAGAACUCGGUGUUGAAGGCGGCCGGUGACGAGGGCGGCCUCCAGGCCAGGGUGGCCGAGCUGCAGCAACAGGUGGCCAAGGCGGCCACCGACCAGGAGGACCUGCUUGAGCUCAUGGACGACCAGGAAGCCAAGCUGACCAAAUACAGAAACAGACUGAAGCAGCUCGGGGAGAAGGUCGAUCAAGUUAAUCAUGAUUCGAUUCGAAUGAGUUGUUAAAUUCUUAAAAGGAUUUUAAUUUUGCAGAUUUCAGUUUGAACAGGAGAUUUUAAGUUGUAUGCACGGUGGAGGAUGACGACGAAGUGGAAGACGAGGUCGCUGCCCUCACAGCUCAGGUCGUGAUCAACUAGUCGUGCGACUGUUCGCCUCAAAUGAAUUAUGAUUCCAUUAAACCUGUUGAAAAUAAAAGUAUUUAUAUUAAGCGAGAUGAAA